GCUUUUCAAUGCCUCUAGGGUUUCUCCUCUUCAACCCCAAAACACUAUAAAUAUAUCUUCCCCCAUUCCUUCUGCACUCCAUCUUUUACCUCCCACUUUCUACUUUUAAUUUUUUCUUAUAUUCAUGUUUUGUUUUUCAAUUUCAACCAAUUUUGUUUUCGUAGCAGUGAUGAAUCCAAAAUUUGUGACCGGAGGCGCUUGUCGUCAGUGACGGUGCACAACCCUCUAAGAAGUUCUGAGCUCUCCUCCCAUUUUUCUAUUCUUGACUUAUAUAUUUGUUUAUUGUUUUAAAUCUUCUUCUCAAAUUUACGGUGAUUUUAGCGAGAUGACGAUGAAAUUCAUGUCUGUCAAUCCACUGAUUUUUGUGAUGUUAGAAGUGAAUCCCGACAGGUUCUGAUCGCUUCUAAAAAUUUGUUUAGAUUUCAAAUUCUAUUAUUGUAAUUGUAAUUUAUAAUUUUUUUUUUGUUAUUUGCGGGGCAGAGGAUGAAUUUAUUGUCAAAUGGGUAAUUUGCGACUGAUACUUCGUUGUGAUGCUAAACUCACCUUGGAGAACUGAUGCCCAUCAGAAAUUUUGAAAUUAUUUUAAAUUACUUUUUUUCAUUUAUAUGUAUAUGGAUUAUUGCUUCCUUUUUUACGUUAUGAAGAUAUUUUUCACUUUUUACAUUAUCUUUAAAUUGUAAUUUUAGAACUUAGUGCGAAACAACUUGCAUGCUCUGAUCUUUAUUAGAGAGAUUUUAUCUCUAAUAAAUAAAAAGUUGUUUCGAAUAAAAUUUCAAGAACAAAUGUGAAGAUUUCGUGCCCCUCAAAAACUAAUUACAAUUAAUUCUAGUGUUGUGGUAAAUAUCCUUUGUUGGUGCGGUGCGGUAUGUGAAUUUGUAAUAUUACGCCUGUUUAGUUAUGAACUUAAUAGUUAACAAAAUAUUACGCCUGUUUAGUUAUGAACUUAAUAGUUAACAAACGCUAGGCAUUGAUUCAUCAGUCAUAGGAAAUGAGGCAGCAAGCAGAGUAUUAGAGGUGGCCGUUGCUAAUCUCCAAGAAUUUUGCAACUGUGUGAUAUCUUAUCUAAUUGGGUCAACAUUAGCAUCUAGAUAUAUGAUUAUAGGCUUGAACUGGAAUACAAAAAGCAUUUAUUUAUGCUUGUAAUACAAAAUAAAACCAGUUUUUUGAAAGUUUGAUGCAAAGCAAUAGUAGUUGGUAUACUGGAAGGUUCUACCACUAUAUUUAUGAAUAUGUGUAUUUUCUGCUUUGUAUUGUUGCAAGAAUUAUGAGUAAAAUCAUUAUCUGUAUGCUAGAAUUUCUUUUGGAUUGCCUGGAUUGUGAACAAGAUUCUUUUGAAGAGACAUUUUCUUUUAACAAGUCAUAGUAUAUUCUUCAGAUUUUCUGCAUGGUGUAUUGGAAACUAUUCGUAUAAGCUUUGGCAGCUUAUUUUGAACAGUGACCAUUUGCUAUGGGUUUAGAGUUUAAUUUUUUUUCAAAGCGUUUUAAUUUUUUUUAAAUUUUUUUUCCAAUUAACAUUUAUGCAGCUUUACAGAUUAAAAAUCUAUCUAGGGUUUGAAACAACUCUCCCUCUGUCCCUCUCAUUAUACCCUCAUCUUCUUCGUUGCUUCCAGCUGCCGCCUAAUAUUUGAUUUUUUUCAUUGUCAAAAUCAUAUGAUGAGCAAAAUAACUGCAACAAUAUGAUCGGAAUGUUUCCCAUGAUUCCUAGUAUUUAAGUCUCUGAUGAUUUCUCUUACCCUAAUUCACUUGGAUAUAUUUCCCUAUUUUUCUACUUUGUUCUUUUUCUUCCCUUUUUUCGAAAUUGUGGAGGAGAUAUGAUGAAUAUAUUAUUUGGUCCGUGUUUCUGAACUAACCCUGACUGAUACCCUUUCCAAACCUCUGAUCUCCUCUUUUAUCUUAUCGUUACAGAUCUUAUUGUUACAUAAAAUUUUUAUUUUUAUUUUUACAAAAUUGUUGAUUUUUUCACUGGCUCUGUGAUUAUCUGCCUAAUUAUUAGGCGAUAUACGCUAUUCUGAUAAUUAUCAUGUGGAUAAUCUUUUUCUAUUAUGAGAGCUGCUCCUUUUUUACAUGGUUUUCUUAUUUUUGUAUUUUUCAAUUCUUUCAUUUUGCUGUGAUGAUUUAUGAAAUAAAUUCACAUGUCAGACUUCAGAGAUUAUUUAUAAUCUAUGAGAAGAGUAUUUCAUGAUUCCUGAGCAGAAUUUAGUAAUUAGCCAGUCAAGUCAAGAGUAAAUUUGAUAAUGCCACUUGCAUCUGCUAUCCAAGUUAAAAAUUAGGAGGAAGAGAGUUCGGCUUGAACCUGCUGCCAUCCCCACAAACUAGAUUUGAUCUCUGCCACUAACUUCUCUUUAACCCACCCAUGGCUAAACUUGAUUUCAUUCCUACCUUUCCGAAUGCACCAAGUAGCACAAGUCCACACGCCAGAGAGGAAGUUAACCUCCUUCUUACCCCCAAGAUUUGUGAAGGCAAAAAGGUGGUCUUUUGCAUUGGCUGGGAUUGCUUGUUGAUCCAAAGAAGUAACUUGUACCAGAUUUUGGUGGCCUUUUGACAAGAGAAGUAAUUGAUGUGUUUGAUUUUCAAUCUGCAAAGGGUGCAGUUUCUCUCUGUGAUCGGGAUUGGAACCUGUCUCUUCAAAAGGUUUUCCCACGUAGCAAAUCUUCCAUUCAUGAUUCUCCAAGCGGUAGUUUUUGACUUAUGCGUUGCUGGGGCUUUCCAAAUAAUGGAGUACUCCCAAUUGUUUGCUUUGAUAGACACUUGUAGCACUGUUAAUGGCUUUGUACGCUGCUUUGACUGUGAACUUUCCAUCCGGCAUUGAUUUCCAUCUCCAUCCGUCCGGUUUCCCUUCCACUAAAUUGUGAUUAUUGAUAAGGGACAUGAGGCUAGCCACCUGAUCCUUCGCCCCUCCUCCUUCAAACAACGAUGGUGCCAGAAAGAAAAAUAAUCUCCCUUGCCAAUCUGAGCUUGGAUAUUAUCUUUAACCAUGUCCCAUUCUCCCCUCGACUCAACCCUAACACCUUAUUCCACCAGCUCGGUUCCUGACCCCUUCCCCCUUUUAAACAAAAACCAUCAUCGCCCCAAACAAUGUCUCUUUUAACAGCCCAAACCAUGGGCCCAGAAGCUUUCUUUCUCUGUAAGAUAACGCCAUAUCCACUUUGCCAUUAACGCCUUAUUAAACUUUUGUAGAUCUUUGAAGCCGAGUCCCCCGGCACUCUGAUCGGCACACAACUUUCCCACUUUAGCCAAUGGAUUUUUCUUGCCUCUGCCCCUCUUCCCCAAAGAAAAUUACACAUCACCUUUCGAACUUUGGAAAGAGUACUCUUGGGUAAGAAGAUGGAGUAGGAAAGUUGGCAGAUUGGAAUUGAAGUAAGGACUGAUCGAAUUAACGUGACCCUCCCGACAAAAGACAUUUUCUUAUUUUUCCACGAAUCUAUUUUUCUUGUAAUUUUUUCCACAAUGUAAUUCCAGUCUGCCACCCUGGACAAGCGUGUGCCGUUUUUAAUCCCAAUUAUUUGGUAGUUCGCUGGCUUGGCAAUUAAGAAGCAACGCCCAAUUAUCAA